rnacentral:rRNA from 1 species
ACUCCUACGGGGGCAGCAGUGGGGAAUAUUGCACAAUGGGCGCAAGCCUGAUGCAGCCAUGCCGCGUGUAUGAAGAAGGCCUUCGGGUUGUAAAGUACUUUCAGCAGUGAGGAAGGUGGGUAUGUUAAUAGCAUAUUCAUUUGACGUUAGCUGCAGAAGAAGCACCGGCUAACUCCGUGCCAGCAGCCGCGGUAAUACGGAGGGUGCGAGCGUUAAUCGGAAUUACUGGGCGUAAAGCGCAUGCAGGUGGUUUGUUAAGUCAGAUGUGAAAGCCCGGGGCUCAACCUCGGAAUUGCAUUUGAAACUGGCAAACUAGAGUACUGUAGAGGGGGGUAGAAUUUCAGGUGUAGCGGUGAAAUGCGUAGAGAUCUGAAGGAAUACCGGUGGCGAAGGCGGCCCCCUGGACAGAUACUGACACUCAGAUGCGAAAGCUGGGGAGCAAACAGGAUUAGAUACCCUGGUAGGCUCUAGC